rnacentral:lncRNA from 1 species
CUGUAACUUUAGUCUAGGCUCUGGCUAUACGGCAUUGUGACAUAUCACUGCACUGAUCACCCAGGUGUUAUAACUCUUGUCUAGGCUCUGCCUACAGGGGCUUGUGACAUAACUCUGCACUGACCACCCAGGUGAUAUAACUCUUCUCUAGGAUCUCCCUAUAGGGUGCUUUGUGACAUAUCAAUGCAAUGGUCACCCAGGUGAUAUACCACUUGUCAAGGCUCUGCCUACAGGGGCAUUGCGAUGUAUCUCUGCACUGAUCACCUAGGUCAUGUAACUCUUGUCUAGGCUCAGCCUACAGGGGCAUUGUGGCAUAACUCUGCACUGAUCAACCAGGUGAUGUAACUCUUGUCUAGUAUCUGCCUAAGGGGACUUUGUGAUAUAAAUCUGCACUGAUCAUCCAGCUGAUGGGGCUGUUGUAUAGGCUCUGCCUAAGGGGGCAUUGUGACAUAUUUCUGCACUGAUCACCCAGGUGACAGACUCUUGUCUUCGAUCUGCCUAUGGGGGCAUUGUGACAUAUCUCUGCACUGAUCGCCCAGGUGAUGUAACUGUUGUAUAAGCUCUGCCUACAGGGGAAUUGUGAGAGGUCUCGCCACUGAUCACCAAAGUGAUGUAACUAUUGUCUAGGCUUUGCCUACAGGGGGCUUUGUAACAUUCCUUUGCACUUGUCACCCAGGUGAUGUAACUCAUCUAAGUUCUGCCUACAGGAGCUUUUUGAUAUAUCUCUGCACUGAUCACUUAGGUGAUGUAACAGUUUUCUAAGCACUGCCGACAGGGAACUUUGACAAAUCUCUGCACUGAUCACAUAGGUGAUGUAAGUCUUUUCUACCCUCUGCCCAAAGGGGGCAUUGUGAAAUAUCUCUGCACUGAUCACUCAGGUGAUUCAACUCUUGUCUUGGAUCUGCCUACAGGGGUAUUGGGAAAUAUCUCUGCACUGAUCACCCAGGUGAUGAAACUCUUCUCUAUGCUCUGCCUACAGGGGGCAUUAUGACAUAUCUCUGCUCUGAUCACCCAGGUGAUGUAACUCUUUUCUAGGCUCUGCCUACAGAGGGCAUUGUGACAUUACUCUGCACGGAUCACCCGGGUUAUGUAACUCUUGUCUAGGCUCUGCCUAUGCGGGCAUUGUGACUUAUCACUGCACUGAUAACCCAGGAGAUGUGACUAUUGUAUAAGCUCUGCCUAGAGGAACAUUGGGACAUAUCUUUGCACUGACCGCUGAUGUGAUGUAAAACUUGUCUAGGCUUUGCCUACAGUGGGAUUUAUGACAUAUCUCUGCACUGAUCACCCAGGUGAUGUAACUCUUGUCUAGGCUCUGCCUACAGGGGCAUUUUCACAUAUCACUGCACUGAUCACCGAGAUAAUGUAACUCGUGUUUAGGCUUCGCUGACAGGGG